rnacentral:rRNA from 1 species
CCUACGGGUGGCAGCAGUGAGGAAUAUUGCUCAAUGGACGCAAGUCUGAACCAGCCAUGCCGCGUGCAGGAAGAAGGCUCUAUGAUUUUAAAACUGCGUUUGUACGAGGGUAAACGCAGAUACGCGUAUCUGUCUGAAAGUAUCGUACGUAUAAGGAUAGGCGAACUCCGUGCCAGCAGCCGCGGUAAUACGGAGGAUUCAAGCGUUAUCCGGAUUUAUUGGGUUUAAAGGGUGCGUAGGCGGUCGGAUAAGUUAGAGGUGAAAUCCCGAGGCUCAACUUCGGAAUUGCCUGUGAUACUGUUAGGCUAGAGAGUAGUAGAGGUAGGCGGAA